AUUGAACGCUGGCGGCAGGCCUAACACAUGCAAGUCGAGCGGGGUUUUCGGACCUAGCGGCGAACGGGUGAGUAAUGCUUAGGAAUCUGCCUAUUAGUGGGGGACAACAUUUCGAAAGGAAUGCUAAUACCGCAUACGUCCUACGGGAGAAAGCAGGGGAUCUUCGGACCUUGCGCUAAUAGAUGAGCCUAAGUCGGAUUAGCUAGUUGGUGGGGUAAAGGCCUACCAAGGCGACGAUCUGUAGCGGGUCUGAGAGGAUGAUCCGCCACACUGGGACUGAGACACGGCCCAGACUCCUACGGGAGGCAGCAGUGGGGAAUAUUGGACAAUGGGCGGAAGCCUGAUCCAGCCAUGCCGCGUGUGUGAAGAAGGCCUUAUGGUUGUAAAGCACUUUAAGCGAGGAGGAGGCUACUUUAGUUAAUACCUAGAGAUAGUGGACGUUACUCGCAGAAUAAGCACCGGCUAACUCUGUGCCAGCAGCCGCCGUAAAAC
rnacentral:rRNA from 1 species